rnacentral:rRNA from 1 species
UACGAAGGGUGCAAGCGUUACUCGGAAUUACUGGGCGUAAAGCGUGCGUAGGCGGUUCGUUAAGUCCGAUGUGAAAGCCCUGGGCUCAACCUGGGAACUGCAUUGGAAACUGGCGGGCUGGAGUGCGGUAGAGGGUGGCGGAAUUCCCGGUGUAGCAGUGAAAUGCGUAGAUAUCGGGAGGAACAUCCGUGGCGAAGGCGGCCACCUGGACCAGCACUGACGCUGAGGCACGAAAGCGUGGGGAGCAAACAGG